UUUCACUAAACAAUCCGUUUCCUAGAACCCAGAACUAGCUGUCCUCUGCCCCUGGACCUGAAAGAUGAAGACAUGCCAUAGAGUCUCACUGGUGAUCCUGUGUCUUCAUCUGGCCUGGGUGAACUGCCUACAGAAGGUGGAGCAGAGCCCUCAGUCCCUGAAGAUCCAGGUGGGAGGGAGUGCCACCAUCAACUGCAGCUACACAGAAACUACUAACCAAGCACUGUGGUGGCUCAGGCAGGAUCCUGAGAAAGGCCUCACCUCCCUGUUUUACAUGAAUUCAGAGGAGGAGCAGAAAGGAAGGUUAAAAUCCACAAUCAGCAGGAAGGAGCGUCAUAGCUCUCUGCACAUCACCGAUGCCCAGCCUGAAGACUCAGCCACCUACCUCUGUGCUGUGGAGGCACAGUGA